rnacentral:rRNA from 1 species
UACGAGAGGCCCAAACGUUAUUCGGAAUUACUGGGCUUAAAAGAGUUCGUAGGCGGCGCAGAAAGUAGGGUGUGAAAGCCCUACGGCUCAACCGAGGAAUUGCGCUCUAAACUGCUGUGCUUGAGGAACCUAGAGGUGAGCAGAACUGAUGGUGGAGCGGUGAAAUGCGUUGAUAUCAAUCAGGAAUACCGGAGGCGAAGGCGGCUCACUGGGGG